UCGACCUCUAGCCUGGGAACCUCCAUAUGCUGCAGGUGCGGCCCUAAAAAAAAAAAAAAGAAAAAAAGAAAAAAGAAAGAAAGAAAGAAAAGAAAGGGAAGGGAAAGGAAAGGAAAGAAAAGGAAAGGCAAGGAAAAAGAAAAGGAAAGAAAAAAGAAAAGAGGAUAAGGUCAACUAACCUACACAGCAUUUAAAAGAAAGAAUGUGACCAAGUGGCCAUAUGAGCGGUAGAGAAUAAUAAAUAUGAAAAUGAUUUUGCAAUGUAAGAAAAAUGUGUGGCCUAGGGCAGCUGAAGAAAGCUUGAUGGAUUUGGUGAAAUUUUAAACAGUAGUUAGAAAAAGUAUGAGAAGCUCAAAAGGCAUAACCCUCUAUAGGUUAUCCAUUGCAGUGUAGACUUCUAUAAUAGAACCGCAUUCAAGGCUAGCUUGAAAACUGUGGAGGCCUGAAACAUAGCUUUGGGAUACAGCUUUUUUAAAAAAAUAAAUAAAUAGAAGUAACGUUUAAAAUAUUUGAACUGAAGACUAAAUCAAUUUCUUCAUCACUAGAUCAAGUCGUUGACAUUCACCCACAUGGAAAAAAAUUUAACUUUCCAAUCCAGACCCUAAGUCUCAUUCUGGGAGAAAACCCAUUAAAUAAUGAAGGAAGGAAACAGUUGAAAAGUACAUCUUUAUUUUGUGGUGAAUACAGUGAAUGCUGGGGGUGCCUCACCGUGUUUGCGCUUUGGGGUUAUUGCAAAUACUGACGUCUUUGCCGCAGUUACCAGACUGUUGGUUUGUAACUGACUUCAGGGUAGGAGCAGGUAGGAAUUUAUAGGAGUUAUCCUUCCAGGAAGAGUAAGGAGAAUGGUUUUUGGAGGCAGAGACUUAAACCUACCGAUCUUUCAAAGGAGUUGAGUGACUCCUCCCCUGGAAAAAUAAGUAGUUUUCAAUCCUUUUUAAGUCGAAUAUUCCGUAGAGCUAUCACUGGGAAUGGAGGGAAAUGAAAAUGUAGGCGGAUAGGGUUCCAACUCAUAAAGGGAUUAUAAUAGAAUUCUUUGAAUUUCACACCAAAGUUUUACAUUAUUUCAUUAAGUUUACACCAGUACAUUUCUUUUUUUACUUUUAGUUUUAUUCAUAUGUAGUGUUGUGCCAAUUUCUGCUGUACAGCAAAGUGUUCCAGCCAUAUGCAUAUAUACGCACAUUCUUUUUCUAUUAUCUUCCAUCAUGGUCCAUCCCAAAAGACUGGAUAGAGUUCCCUGGGCUCUGCAGCAGGACCUUAUUCCCCAUCCAUUCUAAAUGCAAUAGUUUGCAUCUACUAACCCCAAACUCCCCAUCCAUCCCUCUCUCUCCCUCUCCCCCUCGGCGAUCGCAAGGCUGUUCUCCAUGUCUGUGAGUCUGUUUCUGUUUUGUAGAUCGGUUCAUUUUGUGCCAUAUUUUAGAUUUCACAUAUUCAGUGAGUUUUCUGGACUGAAUGAAAUUGGGUUGUGAUGAUCAUUGUACAACUAUAAAUGUAAUACAAUUCAUUGAGUAAUAGAAAAGAAUGAUAAAGCUAGAGGCUCUGAUUCCAAAAUAAAUAAAUAAAAAAUAUAAAUAUAAAUAAACAUCUAUAUUAUUAUUAAAAAAUUUAAGGAGUCUGGUCCUGAAAAUAAAAAGUAUAAAACUCUAGGUGGGCAUUAUAGAGGAAUAACAGUUGGGCUGUUUUGUUUUUUUCUUUUAGAAUUUGUGAAUCGACUCUAUGUAAUUCGUAGUUUAAAAGAAUUGGUAAAUGUGUCUGCUGAGGUCUCAUUUUGUCCUUUGUCACGACUCUAAUCUCAGUUCUCUUCACUCACAGGACCAACAUCUCAGUUCAUCUGGAGCUACAUUUUCAUAUUCCUUUCAUGAGUUUAAACACGUUAGUCAUCAUCACACCCAUUUCCUGUAAAUUAUAACUGUGAUAUUUGGGGACUUUUCUCAGUUUCCAGACUCUGGGUUUUUCAGAUACUCAAUUGACUUAGCAGUUUUACAAGGAGCCUAAGUAAACCGGGCUCAUGUUAAAUGUUCAUGUUACUUGUCAACUACAUCCUGAUUUCAGGUAUGUUUUUAAAAUGUUAAAUGUAUUUUAAAAUAAGGAAACUUGAUAGAUAGUGAUUUGGCAGGGACCCAUUAAAGCUAUCAGAUGUAUCAAGGGCCCUAGUUCCAUACUCUGUGCCACACUCACGGUGGAUUUUGAUUAUGUGACUUUACAGAAGGCAGAACUGUGGGCUUUUUCUGUUUUAAAUUUAAAAUAAUAUCCUAUCUUUAGGUGUUAACAGAGAGCAUUUUUAAGCAGAAGGGAAUGAAACAAUUAUUAUCUUUCAUGGUUGUGUUAUCCUUAGCAGAUAAAUCAACGGCUUCUCGUGCAAAUAACUGUGGAUCAGCAUACCUAAGAUUUAGGU
rnacentral:lncRNA from 1 species